rnacentral:misc_RNA from 1 species
GGUUUACUUCAAAGCAACAGAUCCCUUCAAUGAGAGGUGGCAGGGAGGUUGGAUCAUCACCGCUUUCUGGGACAUUCUCGCCUUUGGACUGCUGUGUGUCAUCUGCUACCUAUGGGCACCAUCUCAGACCUCACAACGAUAUGCAUACUCUGAUGCAAGGGGUGAAGACGAGGAUGAAGAAACUGAAUCCUUAUGCAAAGAAACUCCACAAGGUGACAUUGGUCUUAUCAAAAUGGAUAAGAAGGAAGAUAGUGAAAGUUCUGAUGUAGAAGAUGAUACACAAGAGGGUAAAAGGGAAUGAUUGGUGUAGUUUGAAAGCUUGCUUUACAGAGAUCAAUUCCGACGAAGCAUACAGUAAAGGGAAUGAUUGGCUCCGCUAAAGGCAAACUUCACAAAAUUAAUUCAUUGAAUUUAUACAGAAAAGUGUGCUGCAUGAUUUUCAACAAACCGCAGAAGAAGAAAGCAUAAUACAUGGUUUGAAUUGUGUGAAGUGUUCAUUUGAAAAAUGGAACUGGAGAUGAGCAAUUCCACUUUGCAUUGUAAGUAAGUAGUAAACCUUCAUCACCUCGCAUGUGAACUUCAGAUGUAGUGUUCCAUUUCUGAAAGAAUUAGAAAAAUGCUUCCCAAGGUCUAAUUUGAUGGACCCUCUUAUAUUUAGUGGCAGUUUUGUUCAGAUCAAACUAUUUGAAAGUGUAGGGUGUGAGUCAGUUAAAUGUAGUUGUCUUCAUGCUUGCCUUUUCUUUUUCUAUUUUUUGGUUCCUGUAACAUAGGGGAAUAAGCUGAUUAUGCAGAACUCCUGUAUAUUUGUCAUAUAUAUUAAUGUAUCUUAAUGUUUUU